rnacentral:other from 1 species
UGUCUCCUGCGGUGUUCGAGGGCCUCAUCCAAAACCCUUGAGCCUAAUUGAAAACCCCCGGGAGCCUUACUCGGUUCUGGCGUGCAGGCCCAUCUCGUAAUGGGAAGCCCAAUGACCGACGCGGUGCCCACUUGAGACAGUCGUCUCAAGGUCAGCGAUGAACGUCACGGCACAGGCGGGAGACAC